rnacentral:rRNA from 1 species
CCCUUAGAUGUUCUGGGCCGCACACGCGCUACACUGAAGGAGGCAGCGUGUACUCCUGGAUCGAAAGAUUUGGGUAACCCGCGAAUCUCCUUCGUGCUAGGGAUUGAGGUUUGCAAUUAUCCUUCAUGAACGAGGAAUUCCCAGUAAGUGCAAGUCAUAAGCUUGCGCUGACUACGUCCCUGCCCUUUGUACACACCGCCCGUCGUUACUACCGAUUGAAUGAUUUAGUGAGGACUUCGGACUGGGACCGAUGCGGCUUUCGGGCUGCGUCGGUAUUCUGGAAAGAUGUCCAAACUGUAUCAUUUAGAGGAAGUAAAAGUCGUAACA